UCUUCCAGAAAGUUCAGUUGGUUAGAGCUUGGUGAUGAACGCCAAGGUUGCAGGUUUGAUCCCCGCAUGGGAGAG